UACAAUGGAGAGUUUGAUCCUGGCUCAGGAUGAACGCUAGCGGCAGGCUUAACACAUGCAAGUCGAGGGGUAGAAUGUCUUCGGAUGUUUGAGACCGGCGAACGGGUGCGUAACACGUAUGCAACCUACCUUUUACUGGGAGAUAGCCCGGAGAAAUCCGGAUUAAUAUCCCAUAUGCUCGUACGAUCUCCUGAUCGAGCGAGGAAAGCUCCGGCGGUAAAAGAUGGGCAUGCGUCCCAUUAGCUAGUUGGUGAGGUAAUGGCUCACCAAGGCUACGAUGGGUAGGGGGCCUGAGAGGGUGACCCCCCACACUGGUACUGAGACACGGACCAGACUCCUACGGGAGGCAGCAGUGAGGAAUAUUGGGCAAUGGAGGCAACUCUGACCCAGCCAUGCCGCGUGCAGGAAGAAUGCCCUAUGGGUUGUAAACUGCUUUUAUUUAGGAAUAAACCCUUCUACGUGUAGAAGGCUGAAUGUACUAAACGAAUAAG
rnacentral:rRNA from 1 species